rnacentral:rRNA from 1 species
GACGAACGCUGGCGGCGUGCUUAACACAUGCAAGUCGAACGGAAAGGCCCUUCUUUUGUGGGGGGCUCGAGUGGCGAACGGAUGAGUAACACGUGAGUAACCUGCCCUUGACUUUGGGAUAACUUCAGGAAACUGGGGCUAAUACCGGAUAGGAGCUCCUGCGGCAUGGUGGGGGUUGGAAAGUUUCGGCGGUUGGGGAUGGACUCGCGGCUUAUCAGCUUGUUGGUGGGGUAGUGGCUUACCAAGGCUUUGACGGGUAGCCGGCCUGAGAGGGUGACCGGCCACAUUGGGACUGAGAUACGGCCCAGACUCCUACGGGAGGCAGCAGUGGGGAAUAGUGCACAAUGGGCGGAAGCCUUAUGCAGCAACGCCGCGUGCGGGAUGACGGCCUUCGGGUUGUAAACCGCUUUCGCCUGUGACGAAGGGUGAGUGACGGUAAUGGGUAAAGAAGCACCGGCUAACUACGUG